GUCUGACGUCCCUCCUUAAGGUCUGACGUCCCUCCUUAAGGUCUGACUUCCCUGGUUAAGGUCUGACGUCCCUCCUUAAGGUCUGACUUCCCUGGUUAAGGUCUGACGUCCCUCCUUAAGGUCUGACGUCCCUCGUGAAGGCCUGACGUCCCUCCUUAAGGUAUGACGUCCCUCCUUAAGGUCUGACGUCCCUCAUGAAGGCCUGACGUCCCUCCUUAAGGUAUGACGUCCCUCGUUAAGGCCUGACGUCCCUCCUUAAGGUCUGACGUCUCUCGUUAAGGCCUGACGCCCCUCCUUAAGGUCUGACGUCCCUCCUUAAGGUCUGACCUCCCUCGUUAAGGUGUGUCCUCCCUCCUUAAGGUCUGACGUCCCUCGUUAAGGCCUGACGUCCCUCGUUAAGAACUGACCUCCCUCCUUAAGGUCUGACGUCCCUCCUUAAGGUCUGACGUCCCUCGUUAAGACCUGACGUCCCUCGUUAAGAACUGACGUCCCUCGUUAAGGCCUGACGUCCCUCGUUAAGAACUGACGUCCCUCGUUAAGGCCUGACGUCCCUCCUUAAGGCCUGACGUCCCUCGUUAAGAACUGACGUCCCUCCUUAAGGUCUGACGUCCCUCCUUAAGGCCUGACGUCCCUCGUUAAGAACUGACGUCCCUCCUUAAGGUCUGACGUCCCUCCUUAAGGCCUGACGUCCCUCCUUAUGAACUGACGUCCCUCCUUAAGGUCUGACGUCCCUCCUUAAGGCCUGACGUCACUCGUUAAGAACUGACGUCCCUCCUUAAGGUCUGACGUCCCUCCUUAAGGCCUGACGUCACUCGUUAAGAACUGACGUCCCUCGUUAAGAACUGACAUCCCUCGUUAAGGCCUGACGUCCCUCGUUAAGAACUGACGUCCCUCGUUAAGGCCUGACGUCCCUCCUUAUGAACUGACGUCCCUCCUUAAGGUCUGACGUCCCUCCUUAAGGUCUGAUGUCCCUCCUUAAGAUCUGACGUCCCUCGAUAAGUGAAUCUGUCUCUCAGGAUGUUCACAUGUGAAACUUAAACUCAAAACAAAGUGUUUUCUCUCUCUCUCUCCCACACGCUCUCACUCUGCUCUCUGAUUGGCUGCCCUCUCAUACCAGCCCAGCCCACUCACUGUACCAGCCAAUAGGAAAGCUUCAGUGGGAUUCUGCUCCACCCACUCAGUGAGCAGGAAACAGAGCUCCAUUCAUUGGUUCAGAUGUACUGUUUAUUUUCUACAUGAGGCAUCAAACAUAUAUAUUUUAAAAGUAAUUGUGAAAUAUAUGUAUAUAAAUAUACAAAUAAAUGUAACAGUUAUAUAAUAAUUGCCUCUUUAAUGUGUAGUUAAUUAAUCUAUGCUGCAAAUAAAGCAUGACGUGACAUAAGGAUGGAUUUAAGCAAAUGAUCAGUAUUUAGUUCCAGGGUUCAGACCAGUCUCUGGUUAGGAUGUACUGUGUAUUAGUACAGAGUAUUAGUACAUAGUAUUAGUACAGACUCAGAGUAUUAGUACAUAGCUCCUACAUUGCACGACCUUGUGGUAAAUGCUUGUAUGCUGCUCAUGCUCUUUCUGCAUAUCAUGUAUUUCUGUUUGCCAUGUUUAUAAAUGUAAUGUUCUUAAAUGUUGUACGUGACGGGACUACGGAUGGAAACUAGCUCAAAGCUCAAAUCCGGCUCAUUUACAUUUCAAAGCAUUAUUUUGUUUAAAAUGUUCAUUAAUGUGUUCUGUCCCGGUUCAAAUAAACCAUUAAAUGAAAAAAUAAUAAUAACUUGAAUUGAUAUAGCGCCUUUCAUAACCUCAAGGUCGCUUUACAAAGAAACAUACAAGGACAAGACAUAACACAU